CCUACGUGUGGCAGCAGUGAGGAAUAUUGGUCAAUGGACGCAAGUCUGAACCAGCCAUGCCGCGUGCAGGAAGACGGCCCUAUGAGUUGUAAACUUCUUUUGUAAGAGGGUAAACGCAGACACGCGUACCUGUCUGAAAGUAUCGUAUGAAUAAGGAUCGGCUAACUCCGUGCCAGCAGCCGCGGUAAUACGGAGGAUUCAAGCGUUAUCCGGAUUUAUUGGGUUUAAAGGGUGCGUAGGUGGUUGGAUAAGUCAGUGGUGAAAUUCUGAGGCUAAACCUCGAAAUUGCCAUUGAUACUGGCAGGCUAGAGAGUAGUUGCGGUAGGCGGAAUGUAUGGUGUAGCGGUGAAAUGCUUAGAGAUCAUGAAGAACACCGAUUGCGAAGGCAGCUUACCAAGCUACCUCUGACGUUGAGGCACGAAAGCGUGGGGAGCAAACAGGAUUAGAUACCCGAGUAGUC
rnacentral:rRNA from 1 species